UUCUGCAGUCUUUGAGUGCCAGGCUUGGGCUCUGUCUGGUCUCUUGGGCUUCAGUGCUUGGGCUCUGGCUUUGAGUUCGGGGACUCCGGGCGUUAGCCUCAGGGGCUUUGCUGUGGGGUUAUCUCUGGUGUCCAGGUCUGGCCUCCAGGCCCCUGGCCUUGGUCAUCAGGCUCCAGGCUCCGGCGCCCCAACUCCGGCUGCAGGGGAGCCACUGACUAACGCACAUUGCGCUGAGGACCCACUGUGCGUGUGACAGCGGCUACCGUGCAGCCGGCCCACCACAGGACUGAGAAGGGGGCCAGCCUCCCACCAAAGCGGUCCCGGGUCCUCCCAGAGCCCAGUGGAACAUCAGAACAUCCCUCAGCUUUCAUGAUGGUAGCUCGGAAGGCCAGCAUGAAGUGUGAAACUUGCCAGCCUGGCAAAGGCUAUGCAUCGCAGACGGGCUACCAGCUGGGGCUAGAGGGAGGCCAUCGAUCAGGCUAGCGAUCAGUUUCUCUUCUUCAGGCGUCCUUUGCCUGCCCUGGCCUCCCUGAGCUCUUGGGGCUUGGGACUCGGGACUCUGACGCUCUGAAGGCUUUGCUUGGAAUAGGAGUCUCCCACCUCCAGGUUGAGGUGCCUUCCUGCAGCCCAAAGAGUUCACCUCUUCAGGCACUGGCCUGAGCUCAGCCAGCCUGUCUGAAGGCUCACAAACGGGAUCUUCUGGGAGUUCUUCCUGACUCCCAGCUCUGCAUUCUAGCCCCAUGCCAAGCUGUUUGGACCUCAGUCCCCUGUCCUGUCAGCAGCUGGAUAAUCUGUGGCGGAGGCCAGAAACAUCUGGGUGAAGGUGGAGCCUGCCUGAACCUCGGGGUCACAACUGUCAGCUGCCUGGAUCACUCCCCUGCUCCCUUGGCCCAAAGUUAUGGGUCCAGGUUCCUUCCUCUAGUGGAGUCACUAACUGGAAGGUGUUUGAUGCUUCCACAGGAGGACAGUGUCCAGGGUCAACUUGAGGCUGCCUAUUUUCAGGGGCUGCUUCUAAGUGGUCUGCCCCAGGCUACUAUGAGGUGGAGAUGAUUUCCAGAAGGUCCUUCCUCAGAAAAGCGUCCCUUUGGCAUCUCCUGGGGAGUGCCCUUUGGAAGGGCUGAGGUUGGGGCUCUUGAUUCUGGAACUGUCACCUUGCUUUCAGAGGGUGGCUGGCUUCUCCCACUGCCAAUAAAGAAACGUGAGAGCACAG